GACGAACGCUGGCGGCGUGCCUAAUACAUGCAAGUAGAACGCUGAAGGAGGAGCUUGCUCUUCUGGAUGAGUUGCGAACGGGUGAGUAACGCGUAGGUAACCUGCCUGGUAGCGGGGGAUAACUAUUGGAAACGAUAGCUAAUACCGCAUAACAGUAGAUGUUGCAUGACAUUUACUUAAAAGGUGCAAUUGCAUCACUACCAGAUGGACCUGCGUUGUAUUAGCUAGUUGGUGGGGUAACGGCUCACCAAGGCGACGAUACAUAGCCGACCUGAGAGGGUGAUCGGCCACACUGGGACUGAGACACGGCCCAGACUCCUACGGGAGGCAGCAGUAGGGAAUCUUCGGCAAUGGACGGAAGUCUGACCGAGCAACGCCGCGUGAGUGAAGAAGGUUUUCGGAUCGUAAAGCUCUGUUGUAAGAGAAGGACGAGUGUGAGAGUGGAAAGUUCACACUGUGACGGUAUCUUACCAGAAAGGGACGGCUAACUACGUG
rnacentral:rRNA from 1 species